AGCUUUGUUCAAUGACAGCAUCAUAGCCAAUGAGGUUAAUCUGAGGCACAGUUAUUGCUAAUUGAAAUAUUUUCCCCAUUAUCAGCACACUAAACCAAUCAGUGGGCUGGCUAAUUUAGUUAUCACACAUUUAA
ensembl:snRNA U4 U4 spliceosomal RNA